UAACCCAUGUAGCAAUCGGCCGCAAACUGUUGUGACAUCUUCAAAUUAACUUUAACUUGAAUAAUAUAACUCAAAAAACCUAACACAAAUGCUUCUGAAGAAAGCUGAAAGAUACAACUCAAAAGCUCUAGUACAAUUGGACUAAAUAAAAGGCAGACACAUGAAACUGGUUAUUCUAUUUGGUUCAUGUAGCUCCAGAUUUGUACACUUGAAACACACAGGAAUGCUUGCAAAAAAAAAUUACUAUUUUU
rnacentral:lncRNA from 1 species